rnacentral:SRP_RNA from 1 species
ACCUGGUGGUUAAACACUUACCAGCAUAUCUCUGACCAUAGACUUUGUUAUUUGAGAGGCUGAGGCUGAAGGAUAUCUUGAGUCCAGGACUCAUCAGCUUCAAUAUGCCAUGCAAACAGGGUAUCUAUACUAAAUUUGGGAUCAAUAUGGUGAGCCACUGGGAAUGGGGGAACACCAGAUUGCUUAAGGAGGGGUGAACUGUCUCAGGUUGGAAACAGAACAGGUCAAAACUCCCAUGCAAGUCAGUAGUGGGAUUCUGCCUGUGAAUGGUCACCAUACUCUCAGCCCGGGAAAAAUAGUGAGAUGGGGUU